rnacentral:rRNA from 1 species
UACAGAGGGUGCAAGCGUUGUUCGGAAUUAUUGGGCGUAAAGCGCGUGUAGGCGGCUUUGCAAGUCGGGUGUGAAAGCCCUCAGCUUAACUGAGGAAGUGCGCCCGAAACUGCUUAGCUUGAGUGUCGGAGAGGAUGGCGGAAUUCCCCAAGUAGAGGUGAAAUUCGUAGAUAUGGGGAGGAACACCGGUGGCGAAGGCGGCCAUCUGGACGAUAACUGACGCUGAGACGCGAAAGCGUGGGUAGCAAACAGG